CACACGUGGGACUUCGUGGUGAUGCAGGCGCGGGAGCAGCUGCGGGCGGCCAAGCAGCGGCGGAAGGGCGACCGCAUCGUCAUCGACUGCCAGGAGCAGGCGUUCUGGCUCGUCAACCGGCCCCCGCCGGGAGCCCCCAAUGUGCUGGAGCAGGGCCCCGAGCGCAGGAACUGCCACACCACCCGUGUCCAGCUGGUGAGUGGAG